rnacentral:rRNA from 1 species
UUGGGAUCUUGCAGCGCCCGUGUUGGCUGGGCGAGCUGAUUCGAGGUGCAGAAUCACCCUCUCCCCGCCCGCCGCAUGCGCGCCGUGCCAUUUGCGGGAGUGUGGGGUAGGCCUCGCCCAAUCCCCCCGCCCGCACCACUCCCUCCCUGCCCCACGUCCAAUCCCCUCGCCCGCACUGCUCCCUCCCUCCUCGAUCUCUCUCCCUGGCCAGCCGCCAUUGGUGGGAAACCCUAGCCCAUUAUCCCAAUCAACACAGCCGCAGCUCCUCUCCUUCUUUCUCCCUUCUCCCCCUCCUCCCCUCACCACAGCCGCAACCUAGGGGCUUCGCCGUCCGUUUCGAUGAGAUCCACCACCUCGCGAGGUUCUCAUCUGCCCUAGGUUGCGAGGAAGCCACGGGAGGAGGAGUGACCUCGAUGCGAGAUAGGUACGGAGGAGGAGCUCAACCAGCGCGUCUUCGGCCGGAGGAAGGAAGCAGCGGAUGCGAGCCAGGAGGCGAAUCGGCUCAGCCCAGCUAUGGAGGCGGCCGAGGCGGGCGCGGAGAGGGCCGAUGCGGCGGCGGCCAAGGCCAGGGAGGACGAGGUUGCAUCCAUCAGUGAGAAGCGGCUGAUCCACCUGCGUGCCGUCACUGCAGGGAUAGCGGCGCCGUCGCCCUCUCCCCUGGUGGCACCUCCAUAUAUGUUGAGGUUGGUCCCGGAAUGGUUGGCUUUGGGACUUUUGGUGGCAGUAUAUUCUUAUGCCGAUGAGAAGCAUUUGCAGGACCAUUAUGUGGUUAUCCGUGGCAGUGUGCUCCUAUCCUCCCCGCCUCCAUACUUCAUUUUUGGAAAACUAAUGAUUUUAAUUCCUGGAUAUCAUAGAUGUUGAGGUUGGGCCUGGAAUGGUUGGCUUUGGGACUUUUGGUGGCAAUAUAUUCUUUUGCCGACGAGAAGCAUUUGCAGGACGAUUAUGUGGUUAUCUGUGGUAGUGUGCUCCUAUCCUCCCCGCCUCCAUAUAAACUAAUGAUUUUAAUUCCUGGAUGUCAUAGGUACCAUUGAUUGUGCCUCAGCUUCGUAGCCGAUCUUCGACCAUCCAUGGCAUCAACAUACAAAUUGAUAAUGCAAACCUCAGGCAUGCGGAUGCGGGCGCGAUGGCGGGCAUCUCCGGCAGCGGCGGCGACCUACAGGCAAGAGGCAAUGACUCGGGUGUUCGAUUCGAUCCAGCGCCAUGGCCCGGUCCCUACGGGAGAGAGAGAUGAGGGACAGAGAGAGAAGGAAGGAGAGGAGGGAGAAAGAGAGAGGGAGGUGAAUGCCCUGGACUCUUCAAGAUCGAGCGCACCAUUGGACAGGCUGAGUACGUCCAUCGACAGCCUGCCCAGUGUCCGGGUUCACCAAGCAGUACAACCAGAGACGCUGUCGGCUGCCUGUAGGCACCAAGCCGUCCGCUGUUGUCUCUGCCUGAAGAAGGAUUAUGGUUCUCCACCUCUUUGCUAAUCAUAUUAAAAUUCUGGAUUAAUUUUGUUUGUACUUUAACCAGUUCAAGGAUUGGUGGUCGAGCACUAUGAUCUUUGCACACUAAGCUAUUCCGGAGAAGUUUAGAGCUUCUGCAACCUUUUGAAGACACGAUUUAUAGUUGCGGAGAUGAAACAAGCAAUCAGUUGCGAUGCAUUACAUAAUAUUUUUGCUCUGGACAUUGAUGGGUAUUAUUUUGCCACAAAGGACAGGAGCUUUGCCAUUUGACUCGAAGGAUAAAGUGUUCAUCACAAGGGGGUGGUCUUUAGGAUGUACACAAAAGAGGAAAUUUCCUUUUGUAUAGAACCAAAUUAUAUGAUGUAAUUGACCAUUCUCUUGUACACAAUGUUUAUCAUGUAUUAAGUACAUUUUAUUGUCAAAUAUGUUUACUUUUUUAGUUGCACAAGUUCAUAACUCCUUGGACUUUCUAAUUGCAGGCUGAACUAUUUGAAACCACUGAUCUGAGUUUGUUGGGUCUGUGUAUUAGUGAAUGUGUGUAUUGAAGUUUGGUGAGUCUCAAGAAGAACCAAACUUUUGUUCCUAUCUCAUCAUAUGCUAUCUUAAAUGCAAA